AUGGAAACACCUCCGCCCCUCUCCCGCCACAAAGAAAUGUUGGGGUUAAUGCGCUGCCACUGCGGGCAGUGCCGCUCCUGGCGGUGCUUAACAGGCAUCCUCUCAUUUUAUCCCCAUUUCCUUCGGAGGAAGAGGAAUCCGAGGUUCAGAGACCAAAGUGUUUUGCCCAAGGACACAGAGCGAGUGCUGGGAGCCGGGAAAGCUUCUCCGCUCUGUCAGUCGUCAAAGCCGGCCUGGACCCGCCUUCCGUCCCCAAUUCGCGUAGCUCUGGAACCAAGGGAGCGGAGCGAGAAGCCGUGCGUACCUCCAAUGGGAGGAGGGGUCGGGCGGGGGUCGCGGCCCGGCGCGGGUGGGGGUGGGGCGGCGCGGCGUGGCUCGGUCUUGCGGCGGCGGAAGCGGCCUCCUUCGCGGGCGCGCUCCCCGCCCCCGGCCCGCCCCUCGCCAAAUAUGGCGCUUCCUCCCGGGGCCCUGCCUGGCGCUUCGUCCCGGCCUGAGGCCCAUACAAGGCGCUUCCUUCCCGCCGCGUCUGGCAGGCGGCCCGCAGGCGGCUGUGGGCGGGAGCUCGGCCCUCCGGGUCCGCCCGCGCCCGGGAGCCCGCGGCCAGGGGACUCUGCCAAGGAGGGGGCGGCGGCGGCGGCGGGGCCGGGAACGCGUGGCCUGGCCGGGCUGAGGAAACGGCAACCCCUCCCGGCAACCCCUCCCGGCCCUCGUACAGCGCCUCCAGGGACUUAAACUUGCCUCAGCCACGUGAUUACCCUGAUCUGCCUGCUGAGAGAUGAGCAAAGGUGGAGAGGGACUAGAUCUCAGCAGAGACAGCAGUUCCUGAGCGCCCACCCCCCAGCGCUUCCAGAAAUGCAAUGCAACAUGGACCAGCCUGUGAGCAUUUGCUCCUCCUCAGGUGAGGCAGGGAAAGAAAAGCUGAGAGCUUGGGAGUAAUGAGUCGAGUAAAUGCUCGGGAGGGGGCUUUUAGCACUAAGAAGCCUCUGGACUUCAUCCAGAAUAAAAUCACUCAUAGACUUCCAGUCUUUGGUUAUAGACACACACACACACACACAGUGAAUAAGGUGAAAAUAAACGGAAUUUUGUUUGUCUCCCUGGCCUCAGAUCAGCUGAGUGCCUGUGAAUUGAGUAUAUGGAGAGGAGAUGAUCUCUAAGGUCCAUGACUGAAGGUUUCUGGGUUUACAUUUUUGGAAAAAACUGGGCCUGGGCUGCACACGCAGGCACUAGGUUGCCUCUGGCCUUGUUCCCACCGAAGGCUGCAGGCCCAGAGCAACCUCUUCUUUCCAGCUAUGAUCUAGGAUUGUGGGUAAUGUAGUCCAGUGGCCAGCUUCUCUGUGGUGCUCAUUUUUGCCCUCCCCUCAUCUCCUUCCACUUGAGCGACUUAGCAGCAGCAGCAGCAGCAGCAGCAGCGUUUCCUUCCGGCUGCCAGCUACCACCCCCUUCUGCUCCAGGCUGAGGGCAGGACAAGGUGAGAAGGCGGUGCUUACUCCUUUCAGGGCUGGGAGAUCCCCAGCUGGAAACCAGCAAGCUAUUUAUAGCUGAGCCUAGCAGAGGAGGAAGGCCUGAGAGAGGCUGGGGAGCUCUGGCAGCUUCCUCUCCAGCUACAGAAUUUGCAGGAACCCCAGGCCUCUUCUGGGGAGGCCUUGUGUUCACUUCUGGGUUGACAGGGAUUUGAGCCUGGAAAAACCCUAUGGAGCAGUAGGGUUUCUGUGUUGCUCCCUGUCUUGAGAGAGACUGAUAACUCCAGUGGCCCUGGGUCCUAGCUUUUAGGCCUCUCUAUGGUGCGGAUAUUUAAUGGAACCCGAGUUCCAAAUAAGCUGAGAAUUUGUGCAUAAAAAGCCAGUGUGACACCCAAUAUGACAGUUUCCUGAGAUUUCUUUGCACUUUUCUUCUUAACCAUAUUAUUUUCCUGUGCUUACCUCCUAAUUCUCUUUUGGGACAGGAACCAAACCUUAUCUUACCAAUGGCACCAACCCUGUAUUUAUGCUAUAAAUGAGUGAUCUUGCCCAAAGAAAAGCCAACUCCCUGCAACAGUACUAGGGGUGUGACUUUUGUUCCUCCACCCACCCAAUUCUCUGCCAGUGCCCUGUGCUUUUCCUGUCAAGCAUCAAAUCUUUGUUUGACUGGGUCACUAGAUUGGAUACUCCUUGUUAACAUAGAUGAUGUCUACCUUGUUGUCUAUUACAUCGCUGUUACCUAUACAAUAAACAGUUGUUGAAUGAAUGAAUGUGAACCUAUGAUAGCUAAUUCUCUAGGUGGAGUAUUUGAUACAUGCUUCAUUGUCACAGUGUUUUACAAAUUGGAAAAGAGUUUCAGCCAUUUGCAUAUCUUUCACCAAGAUCUUGAUAAGUGGUAGAGCUGUGUUAGGAACUGGUGUGUGACUUUGGAGUAGUGCUUAACUGGCAUGAGACUGCCUGUUUGCUGGCACCCAGUAGAAACCUCUGGCUCCCCCUCGCCAAAUGGGUGAGGUGGGUUAGAUGAGAUAUGUAGGCAGACAUGGGCAAACUGGCCUGGUCCCAUGAUAGAGCUGGUGCAGCCAGCCAGAAGAGCUGCCAGGGAAUCCUAAGAAUCUUAAUGAGAAAGACUUGCUCUGAUCUGCCAGAGUGUAAGUCCUGAGGCAGUGACUGUGGGGCCAUAGAGAGGCUAGACAGACUCCGAGGUCUGAGCAUCAGUGUCUGGGGGCUCUUUAGCUGUUACCAGGGACCCCCUGACUCUUGAGUCCAGUAGAUUUUUUUUCAGUCUUCAUUUUCCUUUAGUAGUUCUCACCAGCAUUGACUUGUAAGUGACCAUCUGUGUGUUUUUUUUUUUAAUUUAUUUGACUGCAUUGUGUAUAUUAGUUGUGGCGCACAGGCUUCUCUAUAGCCCAGAGCAUGUAGGCUCUUUAUUUGCAGCAUGUGGGUUUAGUUGCCCCAUGGCAUGUGGGAUCUUAGUUCCCCAACCAGGGAUCAAGUCUGAGGCCCCUGCAUUGGAAGGCGGAUUCUUAACCCCUGAACCACCAGGAAAGUCCCUGAUUAUCUCUUCUUGAAGACUUUUCUUUCAUUGCUUACAUGUCUUGAUGUAUAAUGUUCUAUUUGGAUAUUAAAUGUUCCAGUACAAGAACUUCCCUGGUGGUCCAGUGGUUAAGAAUCUGCCUGCCAAUGCAGGGGACAUCAGAGGAUCCCACAUGGUGUGGGGCAACUGGGUCCAUGCACCAGAACUGCCAAGCCCUCAAGCCCAGAGCUUGUGCUCUGCAACAAGAGAAGCCACCACACUGGAAAGCCUGGCCACCACAACGAAGAAUAGCACCCCUGCUUGCCGCAGCUAGAAAAAGCCCCAGCACAGCAAUGAAGGCCCAGCAUAGCCCA
rnacentral:lncRNA from 1 species